UACGGAGGGAGCUAGCGUUGUUCGGAAUUACUGGGCGUAAAGCGCACGUAGGCGGCUUUGUAAGUUAGAGGUGAAAGCCCGGGGCUCAACUCCGGAACUGCCUUUAAGACUGCAUCGCUUGAAUCCAGGAGAGGUGAGUGGAAUUCCGAGUGUAGAGGUGAAAUUCGUAGAUAUUCGGAAGAACACCAGUGGCGAAGGCGGCUCACUGGA
rnacentral:rRNA from 1 species